rnacentral:rRNA from 1 species
CCUACGGGAGGCAGCAGUGGGGAAUAUUGGACAAUGGGGGGAACCCUGAUCCAGCGACGCCGCGUGAGUGAAGAAGUAUUUCGGUAUGUAAAGCUCUAUCAGCAGGGAAGAAAAUGACGGUACCUGACUAAGAAGCCCCGGCUAACUACGUGCCAGCAGCCGCGGUAAUACGUAGGGGGCAAGCGUUAUCCGGAUUUACUGGGUGUAAAGGGAGCGUAGACGGUGCAGCAAGUCUGAUGUGAAAGGCCGGGGCCCAACCCCGGGACUGCAUUGGAAACUGUUGGACUGGAGUACAGGAGAGGUAAGUGGAAUUCCUAGUGUAGCGGUGAAAUGCGUAGAUAUUAGGAGGAACACCAGUGGCGAAGGCGGCUUACUGGACUGUAACUGACGUUGAGGCUCGAAAGCGUGGGGAGCAAACAGGAUUAGAUACCCUAGUAGUC